UGGAGCAUGUGGUUUAAUUCGACGCAACGCGCAGAACCUUUACCUGGUCUUGACAUCCCGGGAAUUUCCUUGAAAGAGGGAAGUGCCUCGCAAGAGGAGCCUGGAGACAGGUGCUGCAUGGCUGUCGUCAGCUCGUGUCGUGAGAUGUUGGGUUAAGUCCCGCAACGAGCGCAACCCUUGUCUUUAGUUGCCAUCAUUCAGUUGGGCACUCUAAAGAGACUGCCGGUGUCAAACCGGAGGAAGGUGGGGAUGACGUCAAGUCCUCAUGGCCUUUAUGACCAGGGCUACACACGUACUACAAUGGCCGGUACAAAGGGCAGCGACAUUGCGAGAUGGAGCGAAUCCCGAAAAGCCGGUCUCAGUCCGGAUUGGAGUCUGCAACUCGACUCCAUGAAGUUGGAAUCGCUAGUAAUCGUGGAUCAGCAUGCCACGGUGAAUACGUUCCCGGGCCUU
rnacentral:rRNA from 1 species